rnacentral:sRNA from 1 species
ACAGGAUGUCCGGUGGUUCCACGCCUUUCGAGUUUUUUGCGCAAGCAAAAAUACUCGAAGCUCAAAAUCGGACACGGAUGUCCGAUUUUGAGCGA